rnacentral:hammerhead_ribozyme from 1 species
ACCUGCUGACGAGUCCCAAAUAGGACGAGAUGUACGUCCUGCAU